AUGAACGCUAGCGGCAGGCUAACACAUGCAAGUCGAGGGGCAGCAUACCCAGCAAUGGGCGAUGGCGACCGGCGGAAGGGUGCGUAACGCGUGAGCAACAUACCCUAUACAGGGGGAUAAGCCAGGGAACUUGGUCUAAUAUCCCAUAGGAAAUAGAUAAGGCAUCUUGUUUAUUUUAAAGCUUCGGUGGUAUAGGAUUGGCUCGCGUGACAUUAGCUAGAUGGAGGGGUAACGGCCCACCAUGGCAAUGAUGUCUAGGGGUUCUGAGAGGAAGAUCCCCCACACUGGGACUGAGACACGGCCCAGACUCCUACGGGAGGCAGCAGUGAGGAAUAUUGGACAAUGGAUGGAAAUCUGAUCCAGCCAUGCCGCGUGCAGGAAGAACCGGCCCUAUGGGUUGUAAACUGCUUUUAUACGGGAGCAAUAAGGUCUAUGCAUAGAUUGAUGAGAGUACCGUAUGAAUAAGCAUCGGCUAACUCCGUGCCAGCCGCAGC
rnacentral:rRNA from 1 species